rnacentral:lncRNA from 1 species
GCAGUAGAGUAGACUAGAGUCAAAUUCCGCUCCAAGUGUAAAGGGACACCCUUCUAUUUGACCUGCCCACAGCCCACUUUAUUCGAGACAACAUCUGUGACAACCAAACAGUUUUGCCAAAAACACAACCGUUUGUUUUCUUCUUCUACUCCUUGAAGUGAACAAUAUGUCACUUCAUUUUCCCGCUAGUUGCUAUAAGAAAAAAGGGGAGAGGGACAAGGAGUCUGUCUGGCUUUUUGCAGAAAAGCAAAAUAUCGUUUGGGAAUGGAGCUAUUGUGAGUGUAGGCUACCAAAAAGCAAUAUCGAAGCAUUUUGUCUCUCAGAAAAUAAUGUCUGAUCAGCUCACCCGUCAACAGACGUCAUCGCCCCCCAAACGCUGUCAAACAAAGCUGAAGUGGAAUGGUCUUUCAGCUUUCAGAGGGUCUCUCUGGGAAUACCGCCUUCUACUUAUUUAAUCACCAUAUCCCCGAGAGCUCGAGCCUCUUCAUUAAUUAUCGGCGCCAAAACAUUCAGCCGAGCUGUUUCUGUGUAGGAUGUGAGCGAGGCGUUAGCUCUGUUUUGGCGCGCAUGGGACUCUAUAGGGCUAGUGACCGCUCCGGAUAACAUUUUCACAAAUUACCCACAUUUUCCCCCUAAAAACCGAAUCGGUGUCAGGGCUCAUCUGACGUGUGGCGUUUCGGUUGGCUUGGAAGAUCUUCAGUGCAAAGAACAAGCAUAAGAGAGCGACUGAGAGAGAAGGACAAGAGAGGGAUGGUUUAGUGCUGGCCCUGGUCGCCCCCCGGUCCUUAACCUGUGUGACCUGACAGGUAUGUGAAUGUAACUGGGGCUAUGCCAGCAGACUGGGUACACAAAGGACAGUUUAAUAGGAGGUUAAACUGGAAACAGGAGUAAACCCACUGCAAGGGAACAUGCUCUCAACUUUCAGGCUCUGAUCACUUUGUGGGAAAAGCCAGCAGUAACCAGAUCCAACAACGCCACCCCUCCACCCUCUCUCUCUCCCUCUUUCUCUGUAACCCAUCCCUUCUUUAGCCAUCGAAAGAAGAAAAAGCCAGUGAGUGAGCAACAAAACCAGCAAAUAAUUAAUUAAAAAUCAACAUGAACACAAACUAUUGAGGAAACUAUCACCUUUUUGUGAAUUGAAAGAGGAUAGCGUAGGAAUAUGCCAUUAUUGUGUUCACACACACGCACGCACGCACGCACACACGCACACAUGCACGCACACACACACACACACACACACACACACACACACACACACACACACACACACACACACACACACACACACACACACACACACACACACACACACACACACACACACACACACGAUGGUGGGUGUAGGGGGGUAGCAGGGGUAGAAGAGCGGUCGCCAUGGGGUCAAAAUCACUUCUGCAUAUUUGUUAAAUAAGCCCCCGUCUAUCGCCCUGUACCUCCUCCAUACACCCCUCUCUCAUAACUCCCAGGCAAUACAAACCUCUGUCUCUCAGUUCAACAUUGUAUAGAUGUUUACACUUGAUUACUCCACAUGCCUUUCUCCCCUCUUGCUCUUUGGGCAAUUGUGCUUGAUUAAGUCCUCACUUGUUCUGCAUCGCCAGGAACACUAAAGAAUGCAUUGUUUCUAUGCACUGCAGAUCCCCCCUUGGAGCUCUCGCAGAUAUCCCCCGAUAGGCCUGUUUCUGCAUUCACAGAUUCAUUAGGUUGGUCUCUUAAAUACAUCAAAGGGCUUCCGUUCACACAAUAAACUGAUAAAAGCAAUUAUAACCCAAUGCUGUAUGGUAUCUAGAUCGCAUGGGAUGUAGCAUUAGAUAAUGAGCAGGCUUGAUGACAUAAGAAUUCUGCGAAAGCUCUCUCUCUUUCUAGAAUAAAUAUUCUGCCUUGCAUGCAAGGUUUUACUUAACAGUAUAGUAUGAAUUAUCAUAACAGUGAUGGAUGAAGUACAGCAGUAUAUGGUGCAGGAAACCCAUAUUACAGUAAAAAGUUAAAUUCUUUCUUAUGAUUGACAUAAACUCCUCACAAUAGUCAGAGGCCUACUCAACACAGUUAUGCUUAAAAGGCUUGAAAAUGUUCAACAUUAAACGUUAACACUUACAUUCCUUUAAAUAUUAAUUUUCUUCAUGCACUCCGUCAUUCCCUUUGACAGUGGUUGAAGAAGGGAUAGGCGGGGCUGUAUGAUUGUGAUAAUCUCAUUUACUGAGAUGCAUGGAGGAGAUGAAAUACAUUUGUCAAAAGGAGAAAUUAAAAUUCUCUCUGCAGCACUGAGUGCCUGAUAUUCUCUCUCUCUCUCUCUCUCUCUCUCUCUCUCUCUCUCUCUCUCUCUCUCUCAGCAACCCAAUUGGCAUAUGCAGAUAGAUCAUAUCCCAGUACAUUUUUCAUGAGCAUGUUUCAUCGUUAUGCGGGAUAAAAAGGGAGAGGCGGGAAGUGGUUAUUAAACAAACGAUUGAAUCAUCAGACUGAGAAAUAGCUUUAAAAAUAAACUUUCUGAGCAAAUGUUUUGCUCCACAAUCCAUUUCAACUCUUUAACAAGUGUGCAUAUACCCAGUUCAUUAUACAGCAUGCAUUUGAAUGGGAGCAGUCAAAAUGGAAUACCUCCUCUAUCAGGCUGUUGCUAAACUUGAUCUUUUCAUCAAAGAUAGUCGUUUUUUCACCUACGAUUGAAUAUGAUUGAGAUCGUCCACACUAUUUUUCUCAAAUGAAAAACAAAUCCCAGCUCUACAUAUUAUGCAAUGGUUGUAGAAAUGAUCAAUCGUUUGCAAUUCAAAAUGUAAUUCCUCUAAGAAUAUCAUAGUGUUAAAAUAUCUAGUUCCAACCAGAAAAUACAUCCCUGUGGAAUUCUAAUAAGAGUGUUACUUGCAUAUAAUUUUACCACAGUUGCACAGUAGCCCUAAUCCUCUGAGUGCUCUGGGUGCUGGCCUGUGUGUGGGGGUGUGUGGGUUCAUACACAGUACCUACAGCCAGUGGCUGUCAUCACUUUCAUAUUUAGCUCAGUUACUGCACAAACACAGAGCAGAGCUGCAUAGAAACUACUUUAAAUUAGCAACAGAACACUCACUGCCUGCUGCAUGUGAAAUGUACCUGCAAGUCAGCAUUUCAUUGCACUGUGUACUCCAUGUACAGUAUAUUAUGUGUAAAAGACAAAUAAACAAACUUGAACUUGAAGUGAAUUUACUGGCAAUGACUUCUUUUCAAUUCGUCUGUGGUUUGUUCAAGAUCAAGACAGAUAGACCACUGAAAACAAUGAUAGAGGAAUUCAAUAUUGCUAAAACAAAAAAUGAUAUUAUUUGUUUUUACUUCACACAAGUUACAGUACCUCAGUCCCAAAAAAUACUAGGUGUAUAAAAUAUCCAAUAUUUACACUACCAUGUGUGUGUGUCUCAGCAAAUUCACCCGAGAGUUGAAAUGCUCCUCUGUGUCAGAUGGGAACACACAUUUAUUACCACGCAGGGGACGAUCGUUCCCCCUCUCUCUCUCCUCUCU